UAGGGAAUCUUCCGCAAUGGACGAAAGUCUGACGGAGCAACGCCGCGUGAGCGAAGAAGGCCUUCGGGUCGUAAAGCUCUGUUGUUAGGGAAGAACAAGUACCAGAGUAACUGCUGGUACCUUGACGGUACCUAACCAGAAAGCCACGGCUAACUACGUGCCAGCAGCCGCGGUAAUACGUAGGUGGCAAGCGUUGUCCGGAAUUAUUGGGCGUAAAGCGCGCGCAGGUGGUUUCUUAAGUCUGAUGUGAAAGCCCACGGCUCAACCGUGGAGGGUCAUUGGAAACUGGGGAACUUGAGUGCAGAAGAGGAAAGUGGAAUUCCACGUGUAGCGGUGAAAUGCGUAGAGAUGUGGAGGAACACCAGUGGCGAAGGCGACUUUCUGGUCUGUAACUGACACUGAGGCGCGAAAGCGUGGGGAGCAAACAGGAUUAGAUACCCUGGUAGUCCACGCCGUAAACGAUGAGUGCUAAGUGUUAGAGGGUUUCCGCCCUUUAGUGCUGC
rnacentral:rRNA from 1 species